rnacentral:rRNA from 1 species
UACGGAGGAUGCGAGCGUUAUCCGGAUUUAUUGGGUUUAAAGGGUGCGUAGGCGGACUGUCAAGUCAGCGGUAAAAUUGAGAGGCUCAACCUCUUCCCGCCGUUGAAACUGGUGGUCUUGAGUGCUGGAGUGGCAAUCGGAAUUCCGUGUGUAGCGGUGAAAUGCGUAGAUAUACGGAGGAACACCAGUGGCGAAGGCGGAUUGCUGGACAGUAACUGACGCUGAGGCGCGAAAGCGUGGGGAGCAAACAGG